UGGAACCAGUUAUGUGUACUUUAUGUCCGCGUACUUAAACAGGCCGCACACACGCGUAGGCGUUGUCGACGCAAUCAAAAGUCGUUGUCAUCGUCGUCGUCGUCGUCGUCGUCGAGUCGCGACAUUCGCUCAUGCAUGGGAAACCGACGCGACAUGAUUUAUGACAUGACGUGAAUUUCAGUUCGCGCACGCGACCUCAUCAUCUCUGUCUCGGGUGUCCAUGCGCAGAAGAGAACGGUCUGUCCUCCAGUGCAUAACCGACCAUUAAACGACCAUCGGCUAUCGAAUUCGAUAGCCCGGUUUAAGUAGCCCGAUCGAUGCCGCGAGCGAGACUUUUUGCGUUUCUGAACGGCGAGUUCUCUCUCUCUCGCUCCCUCUCAAAGGGGUGAGUGGCCGCGGCUGCAUCUGAAGCGCGUGAAUCUGCGCGAACCUGUCCUGCCUGAAAUUUAUUAGCCACAUUUGUCCGAUACGACAGGGCUGAACGAAAAAAAAUCAUUUGUUGAGUUGCGCGAUUAAUUUCAAGCACAUCUCGCGACUCGGCUAUUCGAUAAUAAUCAAACAAUUUUGUUAUUUCAGUGUUGGGCAAAUUAUUAAAAUGCAUAAUGUUAAGAGUUUUUAAUUUUGCUCAAAUUCUUAAGACAAAAAAUAAAGUUUCAAAUAGAUCGUGUUGAUCUCUAUCCUGCAGCGUAUCUUUGUUGCAUAUAUGUAUUUAUAUAUGUUUUUAGGAAAUUUGUUGCAAAUCUGACAUGGAUAAGAUCUCGAUAAUACAAUUGGAGAAAUGACAAGAGAUUCGGAAGAAUCGAAAUAAAAUGACGGAAAUGUGGAGAUCUUUCUGCACACGUAAGAACUCGAUUGAAAUCGUUAUAUUCGUGUCGUAGACUCUUCCGCCGGUUUCCUGUUAUUCGUCGCUACCAGCGGUUCCGGAGACCUCGUUUAUGCGAACCCUUCGAUGCCCGUGGUAGUAAAGUGAGUCAUGACCGUGAAUCAUCGAAAUGGCUCCGUGUUCGCAACGACCCUCGGCUGACCGCGAAAUAUGAGAAGGAACAUUUUCUGCAGACUCAAAGAACGAGAUCAUGAACGGCCAUGGAUAACGGCAAUGUCACAAAGAUUGGAAAAAGAUGAUGUCGUCUGCGCGCAGUGAAAAAUAUAUCCGAAAGUCAACUCUCUUCUUUCGUAAGUAAUAGAUCACAAAAACACCCUGAAAUCGUAUCGGGCUCGAAAAUAUACGGACUGCUUGCGAGCUUAUGCUGCCCAAAGGCGCUGUCGUGAAAGCAAACAACGGAUGAAAAAUAUAGUCCUUGGCGCCUGUACAAUGGCAAUAUUUAUAAAUGCAUCGUGAGUUUUUCGACCUUCAGCCUGUUCUCCUCACCCUGCCUCUUCCUCAUCGGUCUUCUCUCACGUGUGAGAGUAAGCCUCGCUUCCGAAUCUUUUUUUAUUCUAUCUUUUUUUACUGCCCCCGGACUUGCGGCUCCUUUCUGACAAAUUCCCAGACGGAAGGCACACGCCUGAAGGAUCGACUACAUAAAUUCACCCGCGGUAAGCCGUCGAAGAGGGCCUAAGAUCUGUGGAUUUAUUCGUUCUCGUUGUAGGACCCUCGAAAUGAGAGAGAGAGAGAGAGAGAGAGAGAAUUUUUUUUCGGCUCUCGCGAUGCUGUAUUCUAAAGAUACAAGAAAGAUACGUGUCUGCAAUGUCACUGUUUUUCUCUCUUGUUUUUUUACAUGUCCUAAAAAUACAUUGCACUCGAUUUGUUGAAUUUCGCGACUCUCUCGCGACGAUCAGCUUUCUCCCUGUUGACCUACAUCUCGCAAUUUAAAUAUUGCAAAAACGAAUAAACAGAUCGUUGCAUUGAUGACAUGAAAUACAACGUGAGACAAGUGCGAAUACACACAAUAUAAGCUAAUUUCCUAAUGUUGAGAUUCCGCUCUAAAGCAAUGAAAUAUAGUUUUAGGAAUAGAAAUUAGUGUGUUUAUGCUAUAUUUUAGUACUUGUCACGAAUAUAUAUACUGUGUAAAGGCCUCUCUUUAUCACUGUGCGCACGGCUUUCUGCAGGACGAAUCGUAAAACUUCGGGUCUAUUCUGCAUCCCAGAUCCUAUGUAAAUCCGCUCGAUGAAUGGACAAAGACUGACAAACAUAUAUAGAAGGCAAAAAAAGAAAAAAAAAGAGAGGAAAAAAGAGAGAAAUUCUCUUUUAUUGCACGAAGCUGACACGCAUCUCGCGUAUGUACAUGUCUAUCUGUUGCGAAUUAAUAACAAAAUAAGAGAAACGCGACGCACGUUGAUAUUUCACCUACAUCUCGCCUAUCCGAAUUUUGCAAGCGCCGAACAAUUCCUGCAACAUAAUCCCGAGGAAAGAUCGAUAUGUGAUAUCGAUGAAACGAGAGCAGCGGCGCUUUUCGAAGACGAUCCGAGAAUCAUUCAACGCGUAGAUACGCGAUGGCACGCGAGAGAGACGAGGGAAUUUUCGCUAACCGAGGGAAGAGCAAAGGAAGCACCCGCGAAUGUAUAUCACAAGCAUCGUUUCCGGCAAGUUGCCGCAAAACCCGACGUUCCAUUUUCGAAAUGUCUCCGCAUUUUCUCUUUACGCGCCCGAGAUAGAAGACGCCCUGGGAAUUUACAGAGAAAAUGAUGAUACGUAUUUCACAGAAAACAUUAAUUGGAAAUUCUUUCAAAGAUGAUAGAACGUACAUUGAGAACGCAAAUUUCGUUAUCGCAACAGUCAAUUCUGUACUUUACAUCAGAAAUAAAUGUGAAAGCAUUGCAAAGCAAAAUAACAAAUUUUCUCAUAACCUGCGUAAAUAGAAAUAGUGAAAAAUGGAUCAUGCGAAAAUAUGAGAUCUGGUUUGCAAUAUUUGUACAUAUCUACGAAGAAUAAUGUAAACAUUUCCCAACAGAUUGUAUCUUAAUAAUAAUGUUAGGAGAAAAAUACAGCAGAAUA